rnacentral:rRNA from 1 species
UACGUAGGUGGCGAGCGUUGUCCGGAUUUACUGGGCGUAAAGGGAGCGUAGGCGGACUUUUAAGUGAGAUGUGAAAUACCCGGGCUUGACUUGGGUGCUGCAUUUCAAACUGGAAGUCUAGAGUGCAGGAGAGGAGAAUGGAAUUCCUAGUGUAGCGGUGAAAUGCGUAGAGAUUAGGAAGAACACCAGUGGAGAAGGCGAUUCUCUGGACUGUAACUGACGCUGAGGCUCGAAAGCGUGGGGAGCAAACAGGAUUAGAUACCCU